UUCCUACUUCCUACAUGUUGUGAACGCAUCUCCAGUAACAGCUGUGUUGCCAAGACAACAGUAAACUUAUGCCUGACAUGGCGGAGUUACUGAAAUUAAGAAGUGAAGUUGAAGACUUCCAAAAGGAACAUUUCUACAGAAACAGUCUCGCUGAAGAGAACAGAGAGGGGGACAACCAGGCCGCUACCCAGAUUCAGAGCUGGUUCAGAGCCUGCAAGGUGCGGGCUUACCUCAGCCAUCUGCACAAGAAGGCAGUCAUUAUACAGAAGAUAUGGCGGGGCUUCACAGCAAGGGCGCGUUUCAGACAAAUGGUGAAGGCGGCAUAUUUUAUCAUGAAGAUGAAUUUCUACGAGGAGAUGGCGGUCAGGAUUCAGCGAAGAUGGAGAGGAUUCUUUGUGAGGAAGUAUAUCCAUAACUUUUACGCACGCAAGAGCUAUCUGCAAGGACUCUCCAUGAAAAACAAACUAGUCAGGAGAGAGCUGGAUGAACUUGAGGAACUCCAGAAGAGAGAGCGAUACUGUCAGGAGAUGGUAAAAGAGCAGACAGCCAAGGUCUACCAAGCUCACCGGUUACACCACCUCCUCAGUACAAAGCAGUGCCCAGGGGUCUUCAACUCUCCAUUCAGGCCGGCCCCCCAUGAGAUGGAGCUACUGCUGAGGCAGGUCAAGUACCAGGCCCCUACCAAGCUGGCCUCCAGGGAAAGGGCUUGUCUCUUGGGCACGCCAGCCUCAACAGCCCCGAGUUUUCCUGGGACUCUUGGAUCCCCGUGGAUCAAAACUAGAACCCCCUGCUGCCCCAGACCCAUACUGCCCCCCAUUGCUAACAAGAGACAGCAGGGCCUGUUCAGAGAGCCAGGGGAAGUGUGGGAGCAGCGAUUGCGUUUUCCUGAGCUGUCUUUGCAUCUGCAGACCUCUUACACACACCUGGAGGAGGCGCAGAAUGAGCUACAACAACAGGAGUCUGUAAGACUCCACAGUGGCACACCAGGAACAGGAAGGAUGCUCCACCAUUUCUGUCACAGCAGCAAUUCCUUUACUCAGCCAGCCUUUGCCAAGAGCUUCAGAUAGUUAUUGUACAGUUAUGAUGUAAACCCAUUCAAGCUGUGUCAGACCUGCGUUAAACCCAAGUCUGGAGCUGGAUCAUGAAGCCAGCCGUUCAAGACAAUGCUCACCACCUGCAACGACUUUGAUAAGUUUGCUCGUCUGUACUCCAAGCCAGGCAACAUUGUGCAAAACACCUUCCUGGCCUGAGCAAAUGAAGAGAAGUACAAAUAAAGAAAGAUUGCUUUAAA